rnacentral:rRNA from 1 species
CGGAUGAGUAACACGUGGAUAACCUACCUAUAAGACUGGGAUAACUUCGGGAAACCGGAGCUAAUACCGGAUAAUAUAUUGAACCGCAUGGUUCAAUAGUGAAAGACGGUUUUGCUGUCACUUAUAGAUGGAUCCGCGCCGCAUUAGCUAGUUGGUAAGGUAACGGCUUACCAAGGCAACGAUGCGUAGCCGACCUGAGAGGGUGAUCGGCCACACUGGAACUGAGACACGGUCCAG